UAGGGAAUUUUCGGCAAUGGGGGGAACCCGUGACCGAGCAACGCCGCGUGAAGGAAGAAGGAAUUCGUUCUGUAAACUUCUGUUAUAAAGGAAGAAAGACGGAUGGAGGAAAUGACAUCCGAGUGACGGUACUUUAUGAGAAAGCCACGGCUAACUACGUGCC
rnacentral:rRNA from 1 species